GGGGAGAGAGGCACAGCAAUAAUAGAAACAGAUGCAUGUCAUAUUACAAUAAUGAUAGGUGUGUAGUGAGGUAUAGCACCUGACAGUUGAGUAGCGCUUGUGAACGCACCUCCAGACUCCACUCCUCAGUAGCCACUCCCUUAAUCACAGCCAGCCUAUAUAAGGGACGAGUGAGCACAUGCUCCUUCUUUUUGGCUGCUGGUUCCUGUGUGUGGUGGCUGCUGUUUGCUGUACUGGCUGGAGGUAGCAGUGGUGUCUGAGCCUUCCUGC